CGCGUAGGCGGAUGCUUAAGUCAGAGGUGAAAGCCCAGGGCUCAACCUUGGAACUGCCUUUGAUACUGGGCAUCUUGAGUAUGGGAGAGGUGAGUGGAACUCCGAGUGUAGAGGUGAAAUUCGUAGAUAUUCGGAAGAACACCAGCGGCGAAGGCGACUCACUGGCCCAUUACUGACGCUGAGGCGCGAAAGCGUGGGGAGCAAACAGGAUUAGAUACCCUGGUAGUCCACGCUGUAAACGAUGAGUGCUAGUUGUCGGCAUGCAUGCAUGUCGGUGACGCAGCUAACGCAUUAAGCAACUCCGCCUGGGGAGUACGGUCGCAAGAUUAAA
rnacentral:rRNA from 1 species